rnacentral:rRNA from 1 species
UGCGUAGGCGGCUUUUUAAGUCGGAUGUGAAAUCCCUGAGCUUAACUUAGGAAUUGCAUUCGAUACUGGGAAGCUAGAGUAUGGGGGAGGAUGGUAGAAUUCCAGGUGUAGCGGUGAAAUGCGUAGAGAUCUGGAGGAAUACCGAUGGCGAAGGCAGCCAUCUGGCCUAAUACUGACGCUGAGGUACGAAAGCGAUGGGGAGCAAACA